GGUUUAGGUCGGAUAAUCGAGACUCUACUGUACGUGGCCCGACUGUUGCGUCACACACCCAGCGCUGUAUCUAGGGACUAGCUUGGAGUAUCGACAUGGGACGGGGUGCAUUCUGUUGGGGAAAAAUGUGAACUACAUGCUGAGCGCGGGUGAUCGGCAUGUGUUCAACCCCUCUCCCCCCAGUCUCCCUCUCAGCGCUCUGCUGAUUGGUCGCACUGUUGCUAGGGAGCUUGCGUGACACCUGCAGUUGUGUUUAUGUUUGCGCUUCAGUUAUUUAUUGUCUUUCGAAUGAAGUGGUGAUUUUUGUGUUAGUGGCUACAUAAUUAGGACUCGUUUAUCUAAUAAGGACAUUGAGAGUUUGCUGAAUGACAGUAAUGAAGAGUGGAAUGUAGAUGAAUAUGAUGGUGAGAGUGAGUGGCCAGGAAGUAGUGAUGAUGAAAUAGAUGAUGAAGAGGAAAAUGAAGGAGACAAUGAGGAAGAAAAUGAAGAAAAUGUUGUUGAAGAAAAUUUAGAGGAUGGUGGUGAUUUGGAUGAUGGCGGUGGCGUGAACAGUGGUGCUCCUCAGGGCGGUGGUGUGGACAGAUAUUACAGGAAAAGGGGAGCUUCCUAAUGACAUUAAUUUUGUGCCACAAAGGGAAAAAAAUUUCUGAUUUUGCGCCACAAAGGGAAAAAAUUUCUGAAGUAGUGACAAAUUGUAGGAGUUUCGUAGAUUUUUUCCAACUAAAUUUUUCUGAUGAAUUUUUGAAUGACAUUGCGUCCGAGACAAACCGAUACGCCCACAAUAAGAUUGAAAAAAAUGAACCCCCUGAAACCCUGUUCACAGCAGAAAGGUUGGCAUGAUGUGAUUUUCAUGAAAAUAAAAGCUUUUUUGGGUACCAUUCUCAUCAUGGCAAUGAAUGAAAAAAGUGACAUAAAAGCCUACUUUUCUACUGAUUGGACAACAAAGCAGGACUUUUUUCCGGAAGUAUUUCACCGUGACCGAUUUUUUGCAACUUUACCGGGCCUUUCACAUUUGUCCUCUGACUCUUCGGGGCUCAUCAAAAUUUGCUACUCGAGCCCAAAAAGUGAAGAAUGUCAUCGAUUUCAUUGACAGCAAGUGUUGAGCACUUUCCUCCAGGAGAAAAAAUUGCAGUGGAUGAGUCUACUGUCAGUUUCAAGGGAAGAAUUGCAUUCAAGUGCUAUAAUCCUCAGAAACUGACGAAGUGGGGCCUACGAGUCUACGUCCUGGCCGAUUCCGAAACAGGAUACAUUUUGACGUUUGAGCUCUACUAUGGGUCUCCUAUGACGGAGUCCUUGGUGUGCCCUGAACUUUCCUUUACGUCCCGAAUCAUCCUUCAUUUGUUUGUUUGACUACAUCAAGAUUGCCAGGCUCAGGGGAGGCACAUGUACACCGACAGAUAUUCUAAAUUGGAAUUGAAGAAAGAAAAAACUCAUCUAACCGUGACAAUAAUGGCAAACCGAGAAGGUUUACCGGUCGAGGUAAAGGGAAAAAAACUGUCAAAACUAAAAAAGGCCGACGUGAAGGUGUUGGAGAACACAGUGGCAGUUAUUCUAGCGUGGAAAGACAAAAGGCCAGUUAUCGUGGAAUUUACUCAUCACAAAGAUACUAUGCAAUAAAUCACCCGGAAAAAAUGGGGAGGUGGUGAAGAGGUGAUCCAGAAGCUGUUAAUGAUUUGUGACUACAUGGCAAAUGUGGGAGCCUUAGACAGAGCCGAUCACUACUGCGUGUCGUACCAUUUUGCCAGAAAAUCCCUCAAAUGGUGGAGGAAAAUUUUUUUCUGGUUAUUCGAGGUGGGAGUCAUCAACGCUUACUUGCAAUAUGUCAUCAUAGCAAAGAAAAGAGGAGAGACACCAAAGAGUCAUUUGCAGUUUCAGAAGAGUCUCGUCAAGGAGCUUGUGGGCGACGUCAGGGCUCAACCAAUCCCAUCAAGGAAGAGGCCAUGCCCUGAGCAUGGUGACCUACAUGGCCUGUGCCGUGCUAUUGCAAGAAUGGACACCGGAAAACAUGGUGACUGUAUCAUUUGCAGUGAUCUCUCCAAGCCAGGAGGUCGAAAACGGUCCCCCUUUUUUUGCUAAAUUUGUCCGUCCAACCCCUCUCUUGAUGUACCUGAGUGCUUCAACAGGUAUCACAAAGUAACAAAGUACUGAAAGGACUUGUAAAAUAUGGUUGCCUAUCGAAAAAUCGAUAUGCCAAAGUUGUAAAGUUUGUUUUAAGCAAAUUUUAUUCAGUUUUGUAGUUUAUUGACAUAAAUCAAAU